rnacentral:rRNA from 1 species
CGAAUGUAGCAAUACAUGGCGAACUGCUCAGUAACACGUGGACAACCUGCNNNNAGGACGGGGAUAAACCCGGGAAACUGGGUAUAAUACCCGAUAGGUCUCGAUUGCUGGAAUGCAUCGAGAUUUAAAGCUCCGGCGCCUAAGGAUAGGUCUGCGGCCUAUCAGGUAGUAGUGGGUGUAGCGUACCUACUAGCCUACGACGGGUACGGGUUGUGAGAGCAAGAGCCCGGAGAUGGAUUCUGAGACACGAAUCCAGGCCCUACGGGGUGCAGCAGGCGCGAAAACUUUACAAUGCUGGCAACAGCGAUAAGGGAACCUCGAGUGCCAGGUUACAAAUCUGGCUGUCGAGAUGCCUAAAAAGCAUUUCAUAGCAAGGGCCGGGCAAGACCGGUGCCAGCCGCCGCGGUAACACCGGCGGCUCGAGUGGUAACCGUUAUUAUUGGGUCUAAAGGGUCUGUAGCCGGCCGGAUAAGUCUCUUGAGAAAUCUGGCAGCUUAACUGUCAGGCUUUCAGGAGAUACUGUCUGGCUCGAGGCCGGGAGAGGUGAGAGGUACUUCAGGGGUAGGGGUGAAAUCUUGUAAUCCUUGAAGGACCACCAGUGGCGAAGGCGUCUCACCAGAACGGACCUGACGGCAAGGGACGAAAGCUAGGGGCACGAACCGGAUUAGAUACCCGGGUAGUCCUAGCCGUAAACGAUACUCGCUAGGUGUCGGCCACGGUGCGACCGUUGUCGGUGCCGUAGGGAAGCCGUGAAGCGAGCCACCUGGGAAGUACGGCCGCAAGGCUGAAACUUAA